GCCUAGUUAGCUCGGCGGGCAGAGUGUCUGCCUUGUAAGCGCUAGGUCGCGGGUUCGAUUCCCGCCCGGGGUG
rnacentral:tRNA from 1 species